rnacentral:tRNA from 1 species
AUUAAUAAUAUGCACACUAUAUCACAAUUGUACAGUAAUUUACAUGCUAUAAGCUCUAUUAUUAAUAUAU